UACGUAGGGUGCAAGCGUUAAUCGGAAUUACUGGGCGUAAAGCGUGCGCAGGCGGUCUUUUAAGACAGAUGUGAAAUCCCCGGGCUUAACCUGGGAACUGCAUUUGUGACUGAAAGGCUAGAGUACGGCAGAGGGGGAUGGAAUUCCGCGUGUAGCAGUGAAAUGCGUAGAUAUGCGGAGGAACACCGAUGGCGAAGGCAGUCCCCUGGGCCUGUACUGACGCUCAUGCACGAAAGCGUGGGGAGCAAACAGG
rnacentral:rRNA from 1 species